AUGGAUCAAUUAAGUAAUAAUGUGAAUGCUAGACCGUUGCCUAUAAGCAACUUGUGGAUAAGGAAGCAAUUUCAUGAAAGGAGGAUUCACUUUGGUUCAUGGAAUAUAGGCACACUCAUUGGAAAAUCUAUGAAAAUAGUGGAUGUUAUGGUUAGGAGAAAGAUUAAUUUUAUGUGCCUACAAGAAACUAAGUGGACAGGUGAAAAAGCAAAAGAAUUAGACAACUCGGGAUUUAAGCUUUGGUAUACUGGAAAAAUUAGAUCAAGAAAUAGGGUGGGGAUUAUUGUGGAUAAGGGGUGGAAGAAGGAUGUUGUGGAUGUAAGAAGAGUAAGAGACCGAAUCAUAAAGCCUUGA